CACGCAGGCGGUUCGAUAAGUUGGAUGUGAAAAGCUCCUGGCUUAACUGGGAGAGGUCGUUCAAUACUAUCGGACUUGAGGAUGAGAGAGGGAGGUGGAAGUUCCGGGUGUAGUGGUGGAAUGCGUAGAUAUUCGGAGGAACACCAGUGGCGAAAGCGGCCUCCUGGCUCAUAACUGACGCUCAUGUGCGAAAGCUAGGGUAGCAAACG
rnacentral:rRNA from 1 species